UACGAAGGGGGCUAGCGUUGCUCGGAAUUACUGGGCGUAAAGCGCACGUAGGCGGCUUUCUAAGUCGGGGGUGAAAUCCUGGAGCUCAACUCCAGAACUGCCUUCGAUACUGGAGAGCUCGAGUCCGGGAGAGGUGAGUGGAACUGCGAGUGUAGAGGUGAAAUUCGUAGAUAUUCGGAGGAACACCAGUGGCGAAGGCGGCUCACUGGUCCAUUACUGACGCUGAGGUGCGAAAGCGUGGGGAGCAAACAGG
rnacentral:rRNA from 1 species